rnacentral:lncRNA from 10 species
GGCAGUGAAGUGGUCUGAGCCAGUGCAGUGGCGGGGAGGAGGUGAGCUGUGGAUGGAGCCAAGUGCCGUUUCACAGGAAAAUGACUGGAUGUGGUGACCAUGGGAUAUGGAAGAAAGACCAUGGGCUGAAAGUGAGAGGAGGGGAAAAGCAUUGGAGCUAUGAGAAGAGACAUCCCUCCCAAGGCUAUUGUGAGCCUUGUGACACAAGUCCAAGACCUUGCACAUAAGAGGAGGUACUUAGAAAUCUGCCCCAUGGAGAGGUCCAAGCUGCAAGAAACUGAUACCU